AGUGUUUGCCCUCACAUAGAAUAUCAGAACAUUGCUACAAAGUUUUGAAUGUUUGUUGCUCACAUAGGAUUCCAGAACACUGCUGCUGGGUUCUGAGUGUUUGUCCCUCACAUAGGAUUCCAGAACACUGCUACGAGUGUUUGAAUGUUUUUCCCUCACAAUUAUUCUGGAACACUGCUUCUGGGAUCUGUAUGUUUGUCCCUCACAAAGGAUUCUAGAGCACUGCUGCUGGUUUCCUGUGUUUGUCCCUCACAUAGGAUUCCAGAACACUUCUACGAAUGUCUGAAUGUUUGUCCCUCAGAUUCGACUCCAGUUCACAGUUACUGUGUUCCGAGGGGUUGUCCCUCAAAUAGGAUUCCAGAACACUGCUGCUGGGAUCUGAGUCUGUGUCCCUCACAUGGGAUUCCAGAAUACAGCUUUUGGGUUCUGAGUGUUUGUCCCUCAUUUUGGAUUCCAGAACAAUGCUACGAGGGUCUGAAUGUUUUUCCCUCACGUGGGAUUCCAGAACACUGCUGCUGGGUUCUGAGGGUUUGUCCCUCAUGUAGGAUUCCAGGACACUACUACGAGGGUUUGAAUGUUUUUCCCUAACAUCGGAUCACAGAACACUGAUAGGAGGUUUUGAGUGUUUUUCCCUCCCAAAGGAUUCCAGAGCACUGCUGCUGGUUUCUUAGAGUUUGUCCCUCACAUAGGACUCCCGAACACUUCUACGAGGGUGUGAAUGUUUGUCCCUCAGAUAGUAUUCCAGUACACUGUGGCUGGGUUUUGAGUGUUUGUGCCUCACAUGGGAUUGAAGGACACUGCUGCUGGGUUCUGAGUGUUUGUCACUCACAUAGGAUUCCAGAACACUGCUGCUGGGUUCUGAGUGUUUAUCCCUCACAUCAGAUUCCAGAACAAUGCCGUUGGCUUCACAGUAUUUGUCCCUCACAUAUGAUUCCAGAACACUCCUAUGAUGUUCUGAAUGUUUGUCCCUCACAAAGGAUUCCAGAACACUGCUGCUGGAUUCUCUGUGUUUGUCCCUCACGUAGGAUUGCAGAACACUGCUUUGAGUGUCUGAAUGUUUCCCCUCACUAAGGAUUCUAGAACACUGCUGCUUUUUUCUGAGUGUUUGUCACUCACAUAGGAUUCCAGAACACACCUGCUGGUUUCUGAGUGUUUGUCUCUCACAUGGGAAUGCAGAACACUGCUCCUGGUUUAAGAAUGUUUGUCCCUCACAUAGCAUUCCAGAACACUGCUGCGAGAUUCUGAAUGUUUUUCCCUCACAAAGGAUUCCAUAACACUACUGCUGGGUUCCGAGUUUUUGAGCCCCACAUAGGAUUCCAGAACACUGCUGCUGUGUUCUGUUUGUUUGUCUCUCACAAAGGAUUACAGAGCACUGCUUUUGGGUUCUGAGUGUUUUUUCCUCACAUAGGAUACAGAACACUGCUGCAGGUUUCUGAGUGUUUGUCACUAACAUAGGAUUCGAAAACACUGCUGCUGAGUUCUGUAUGUUUGUCCAUCACAAAGGAUUCCUGAGAACUGCUUCUGGUAUCUGAGUGUUUCCUCCUCACAUAGGAUUCCAGAACAAUUCUACGAGUGCCUGAAUGUUUGGUCCUCAGGAUUCCAGAACACAGUGGCUGGAAUGUGACUAUUUGUCCUCCACAUAGGAUUCCAGAAUACUGCUACUUAUAUCUGAAUGUUUGUCACUCACAUACGAUUUCAGAACACUGAUGCUUGGUUCUGAAUGUUUGUCACUCACAUAGGAUUCCAGAAAAGUGCUACGAGGUUCUGAAUGUUUGUCCAUCACAAAGGAUUCCAGAACAAUGAUGCUGGGAUCUGAGUGUUUGUCCCUCACAUAGGAUUUCAGAACUCUGCUUCGAUGUUCUGAAUUUUUUUUCCCUCAAUGAGGAUUCUAGAACACUUCUGCUGGUUCCUUAGUAUUUGUCCCUCACAUAGGAUUCCAGAACACAGCAACGAGGGUCUGAAUAUUUGCCCCUCACAAAGGAUUCCAGAAAACUGCUACUGCAUUCUGAGUGUUUGUCCCCCACAAAGGAUUGCAGAGCAUGGUGCUGAAUUCUGAGUGUUUGUCCCUCACAUAGGAUUCCAGAACACAGUGUCUGGGUUCUGAGUGUUUGUCUAUCCCAUAGGAUUCCAAAACACUGGUACGAGGGUCUGAAUGUUGGUCUAAUCCAAAGUUUCCAGAACACUGCUGCUGGGUUCUGAGUUUUUGUCCCUCACAUAGGAUUCCAGAACACUGCUUUGAGGAUAUGAAUGUUUGUCCCUCAUGAAGGAUUCUAGAACACUGCUUCUGGGUUUUGAGUGUUUGUCCCUCAAUAGGAUUCCAGAACACUGCUCCUGGGUUCUGAGUGUUUGUCUCUCACUUAGGAUUCCAGAACAGUGCUAUAAGAUUCUGAAUGUUGGUCCCUCAGAAAGUAUUCCAGAACACUGCUGCUGGGUUCUGAGUGUUUGUCCCUCACAUGGGAUUCCAGAACUCUGCUGCUGGGUUCAGAGUGUUUGGCCCUCACAUAAUAAUCCAGAACACUGCUUUGAGGUUCUGAAUGUUUGUCCCUCACAAACGAUUACUGAACACUGCUGCUGGGUUCUGAGUGGCCCUCACAUAAUAUUCCAGAACACUGCUUUGAGGUUCUGAAUGUUUGUCCCUCACAAACGAUUACUGAACACUGCUUCUGGGUUCUGAGUGUUUGUUCCUCACAUAGGAUUCCAGAGACUCCUACGAGUGUCUGAAAGUUUGUCCCUCAGAUAGGAUUCCAGAACACAGUGGCUGGGUUCUGAGUGUUUGUCCCCCACAUAGGAUUCCAGAACACUGCUACGAAGUUCUGAAUGUUUGUCGCUCACAUAGGAUUUCACAUCACUACUGCUGGGAAUUGAGGGUCUGUCCCUCACAUAGUAGUCCGGAACACUGCUGUCGUCUCUGAGUGUGUGUUUCUCACACAGCAUUCCAGAACAUUGCUACGAGGGUCUUUAUAUAUUUACCUCACAAAGGAUUCCAGAACUCUGCUUCUCGGUUCUGUUUAUUUGUCCCU
rnacentral:lncRNA from 1 species